GAUGAACGCUAGCGACAGGCCUAACACAUGCAAGUCGAGGGGCAGCACAUGAGUAGCAAUACGAUGGUGGCGACCGGCGCACGGGUGAGUAACACGUAUGCAACCUGCCUUCUACUAUGGGAUAACCCGUUGAAAGACGGACUAAUACCGUAUAAUACAGGGGCUCCGCAUGGAGAUAUUUGUUAAAGAUUUAUUGGUAGAAGAUGGGCAUGCGUAUGAUUAGAUAGUUGGUGAGGUAACGGCUCACCAAGUCAACGAUCAUUAGGGGUUCUGAGAGGAAGGUCCCCCACACUGGUACUGAGACACGGACCAGACUCCUACGGGAGGCAGCAGUGAGGAAUAUUGGUCAAUGGACGAGAGUCUGAACCAGCCAAGUCGCGUGAAGGAAGACGGUUCUAUGAAUUGUAAACUUCUUUUGUGCAGGAAUAAAGUGGGUUACGUGUAACCUUUUGUAUGUACUGUACGAAUAAGGAUCGGCUAACUCCGUG
rnacentral:rRNA from 1 species